CUACGGGUGGCAGCAGUGGGGAAUCUUAGACAAUGGGCGCAAGCCUGAUCUAGCCAUGCCGCGUGAGUGGUGAAGGCCUUAGGGUCGUAAAGCUCUUUCGCUGGGGAAGAUAAUGACGGUACCCAGUAAAGAAACCCCGGCUAACUCCGUGCCAGCAGCCGCGGUAAUACGGAGGGGGUUAGCGUUGUUCGGAAUUACUGGGCGUAAAGCGCGCGUAGGCGGACUGUUAAGUCGGGGGUGAAAUCCCGGGGCUCAACCCCGGAACGGCCUUCGAUACUGGCAGUCUGGAGUUCGAGAGAGGUGAGUGGAAUUCCGAGUGUAGAGGUGAAAUUCGUAGAUAUUCGGAGGAACACCAGUGGCGAAGGCGGCUCACUGGCUCGAUACUGACGCUGAGGUGCGAAAGUGUGGGGAGCAAACAGGAUUAGAUACCCGAGUAGUC
rnacentral:rRNA from 1 species